rnacentral:rRNA from 1 species
CACGAAGCGGUGGAUGAUGUGGUUUAAUUCGAUGCAACGCGAAAACCUUACCACCUUUGACAUGUACGGAAUCCUUUAGAGAUAGAGGAGUGCUCGAAAGAGAGCCGUAACACAGGUGCUGCAUGGCUGUCGUCAGCUCGUGUCGUGAGAUGUUGGGUUAAGUCUCGCAACGAGCGCAACCCUUGUCAUUAGUUGCUACAUUCAGUUGGGCACUCUAAUGAGACUGCCGGUGACAAACCGGAGGAAGGUGGGGAUGACGUCAAGUCCUCAUGGCCCUUAUAGGUGGGGCUACACACGUCAUACAAUGGAUGGUACAAAGGGUCGCCAACCCGCGAGGGGGAGCCAAUCCCAUAAAGCCAUUCGUAGUCCGGAUCGCAGUCUGCAACUCGACUGCGUGAAGUCGGAAUCGCUAGUAAUCGUGGAUCAGAAUGUCACGGUGAAUACGUUCCCGGGUCUU